GACAGAGGUGCCAAGCGUUAGGCGGAAUCACUGGGCUUAAAGCGUGUGUAGGCGGAAUUGUAAGUACCUUGUGAAAUCCCAUGGCUCAACCAUGGAACUGCUCGGUAUACUGCUUUUCUUGAGCCACUUAGGGGCUACCGGAACAAAUGGUGGAGCGGUGAAAUGCGUAGAUAUCAUUUGGAACGCCAAUGGUGAAAACAGGUAGCUGGGAGUGUGCUGACGCUGAGACACGAAAGCCAGGGGAGCAAACAGG
rnacentral:rRNA from 1 species